rnacentral:miRNA from 12 species
GGUCCUGGUCCUGGUCCUGGUCCUGGUUCUGGUGCUGGUCCUGGUCCUGGUCCUGGUCCUGGUCCUGGUUCUGG